GCGACCGCCGAGAAUCCCGCUCGUCAUUCUACGUUCCACGCCGCAGCCGCAGCCGCCCGUGUCGGCUGUACUGGCUGUACCUCGCAUCCUGCAAUACAUGAUCUGGCAGCGACGUUAGGCGCGGUGUCUACCAGUUCACCGACCACGGAACCAUGGAUUCCGACAGCCAUGGGUUUCGCCGCUGGCUCCUGAUGUAACGUGUGCUUCGAAGCUUUAAGUCGCGGCUGCUCUACUCAUGGCCUGUACUUCUGCAAGUGUUGUUGCGGGACUCUUUUGCUCCGGAAUUCUCGCACGGCCCAUUGGAGCUCCCGGAAUACGUAUGCGACGCGCGGCGACCAUUCCAUCCGUUCUCACGCACGAGCUGUCUCGUCUGACGCCAACGCCGUCUCGAGCCGUUGCUGCCGAUAAGUUUCAAGUCGCGCCUGCCGCGGGUCUUUUCUUUUGUGCGCGUUCCCGCGAACUGACCGUGCCAUUUAACCGAGGGACAACGAAGCAACUGUCGACGCCACGUCUCAACUACCUUACAAGUAGGUGAAGCCCGUGCAACGAAGUGACCAUGGCACUACUUUGAAGGACAACGCAGCAACUCUCGUCGCUACGUAGCUUCGGCAGCUAACUCACGAGAGCGGCACUGAAGAACGGACGUUGCCUUCGGUCCGCAGCGCGGCGCGUUGCGGCUAAAGUAGCUUUUUUCUAUUUGUGCCACGACACACGGACCAUUUUUGAAGACCACGGCUCGCGCGACGACGCCUGUAAUGGCCUUCGCGUCUGGCGCACUCCAGCAACGUCCCUUCUGCACUGCCGUGUCCCAGACGGAUGACGUUCAGCGUAUGUCGUUCCGCGGCUCACCAGCUGUGCACUCGGCUCCAGCCUCACAGCCACUGGCUUCCUGCUGCAGAAACCUGCGCUACCCGCCCUGCAGUACGUCGACUGCGAUUUCCCACAACGGAGUUUCCUCUGCCCUGCCGUGUCCCAGACGGAUGACGUUCAGCGCAUGUCGUUCCGCGAUUCGCCGCCUGUGCACUCAGCUCCAGCCUCACAGCCAGGCCAGUGGCUUCCUGCCGAAUUGAGAAACCUGCACUACCCGCCCUGCAGUACGUCGACUGCGAUCUGCAACCCUCGUCUUGACAUCCGCUGCCAGUCAAGAUCUGUCUCCCCUGCCUAGUAGGCGAUGACGCCUAGUGCUGGCCGCACUACGGCAGGCCUUGCUCUUGCGACUGUUUAACACCCUGCUACACCCAACGAUGUUGAGCUGCAGGAAUAAUACCUCCUUGCGUGCUCCGUGCUGCCUCGAGGAUGGUGCACAACUACGGAGUGAUGAUGUGAACACCGACCUCGACAUCCUUGCAAGACAGCUUCCCGCCCUGUAUACUAUACCUGCAUCAUGGCCGCUCAUUGAAGACGCAUAUUGAGAGCACGUGCGGAUCAAACAAUUGCAGAUAUCGCGCUGGCUCAUCUGUGGUACGCUGCUCAGGGUCUAGCAGUCGGUUUGUCUGCGGGAUUCUUGCUCGUGCACGUUCACAUUCUGUGCUCUGUAAUGGUACGCUGAUGCUGGUUCGCGUUGCGAAGUAGCGCGCGCAUGUGUUCGUAUGAGCAUGUGAGUGUGUUGAUGCAUGUAUGUUGUCUAUUGUACGCGCGUGCUACUUCGCUUAUUUUAGCUGGUGGUUGUCAUAAUUUUAGCUCGUGUGUGUCCUCACUUCCAUGCAACUUUUGAUGGCUUGUUUCGUUCAAUCCGUGAAUUUCUUCAGAAAGGUCAUAGAUGAUUUCGUAGUGAUGGUGGCCAAUCUUGUCGGAAACCCAUCCAACUUUGGCAUUGGGCAUUCCCCUUACUUGAUGUCCAGUCGUCCACUCGUUGAUUUGUCCAUGGCCUUGUCAUAUUGUUUUCUACUCGACGGGGUCAGUUGCUACUUUUUCCUUAUCCACUUUUUUCUCAUUUGAUCAAUUCAUGAUGGCUAAUGCGAUACAUCAGCGUACCAUUACAAAAAGCGCAUGGUGGGAAUUAAAGGCAAUAAAGCAUCUACGUUCGAUUGUGAGGAUCACAAUUAUGUGAGCUUAUCCUUUAUCUGGUGCUGAAUUUAUCUGCAACAUGAGCCAUUG